AGACCAAGAUGAAAACGAAAUUGUUGCAAUUUGAUAGGCGCGAAGCAGAAGGAAUAGAGAAGGGAGAUGGGCGAGAGAAAGUUGGGCAAACAUAUGACCUCUCGGAAGAAAGAAGGAGGAGAAGAUGAAGGCAAACCAUGGUGUAACA
ensembl:ncRNA F31E8.12 ncRNA